rnacentral:lncRNA from 1 species
UACCUUAAACGCUCGAAACAGAAACUAUAUUGAAUGACUUUAAUUACCUGGUACCUGACUAAGUGGUGUUUCUAUUCUGACCUAGUUGUCGUACACGUGGAGGGCUUCACAGCGCCGUGACCCCAUCUGGGGACGUUUCUGCCCUUCUGGGGGCAUUUCUACGUGUGAGUCCUCCUGCUUGGGAGUGCUCCUGCUUAAGGGGUGACUUUUUGGGUGCCAACUUAUGCCCCCAAUCAUCUAGUCACUCACUUUGAGAGCCUAUCUGCCUUCCCCUCGUACCCUGCACCUAGCUGCCCUGGGCGUGACCCUCCCCUUGAGUCGUAUCUGCCCCAAAGGCGUCUCUGAGGCGGCAGGGGUACUUCACGAGUCAGGCUGCCCUUCACUGGUGCUAUCACUAUGGCCUUGAAGCCACCUUUUCCUUCUCUUUAUCACUGCCCCGGAUCAUCGGGACCUGAGGCCUUCCCACGGCGUCGCUCCCUCCAUGGUCUUUCCUACCCAUGGGUAUCGGGGAACCACACUGUGAUUGCCUUGCCUUAGCGAUAUUUGAUCUUGGCGACGCCCUGGUUGGGCGACGCCUUCACCUAGGCAACGCCUUGCCUUGGCGACGCUUCCUCUUGGCGACGCUGGAACUUGGCGUCUCUUCACCUAGGCGACGCCUUGUGUUGACUUUGACUUCAAAUGUUGACUUUGUCAACGCCCGGAUACGGGACGGUACAAUAACGUUCCUGAUGAGAAUAAAAAAGAUGCUAUUAAUAGAAGGAAUGGUUAAUGACCAAAAUACUUGAAGUUCUUCUUAUUAGUGUUCUUAAUAUGGAGGCCCAAGCCCAAAGCCCAAGCCCACACUGAGGCCCAAGCCAACACAUAAUCCUCCAUCAUGCCUCAGAAGAUAAUAAGAGCAAGGGCACAAGCUUUAAAUUAAUGAGCCUCAUUGGAUGUCUCUUUUUGUAAUUACUAUUGUGUAGUUUUUAGUAGAACUUUAAAAGGAAGUUGUAGAUAUUAAAUAAGGGGUGCUAAUGUACAAAACAAAGUCACACCUUCCAUGUGACAUAAAAGAGUAGGUGUAGAUAUAGUUUUAGGAGGUGCCAAAGUAGGAAAACAAGUCACACUUCUCAUGUGACUUGUUUUGGCUCCAAUUUUGAAUAGUCUAGUUUUUGAAUUGUGCCUUUUAAUUUUCAGCCCUCUUCUACUAUAAAUAGAGAGUCCAUGCUCUUGUAAAUUCAGAAUUUAGAAAUUGAAGAAAGGAAACUCUACUCAAAUUGAGAGAGAAUUGUGAGAGAUUUGAUCUCCUUCACUAAGUCUUAUCUUGUGAGCUUUGGAGGGCUUCAAGUGGCGGCAACUAGCACUCAUCUUGGAUCAUCAUCUCCAAGUGGCGUGUCCAUCUCCUUCAAGUUUUCAUCCAAUUAAGUUCCUUCUUCCUUCCAUAUCAAUUUCCAUGUUUUAGCAAAUUCCAGAUAGUUUGUCUUUUUAGGUGAUGUUCUUCAAUUUCCACCGAUUAUUCUUGUUCAUCUUGUGUUCUACUUUCAAUUCUACACUUAUAGCUUAAUUUGAUUCUGUAUUUGUAUCUCCAAUUCCUUGUGUUAUUUCGGUUCAUUCUGGAAUGGCACUCAAUCUUGAGUUUGGUUCAUCUAUUAGAAGGCUUUGUACUUCAAUGAUGAUUCCUUAAGUUCCUCCACUUGCUCCUAAUUGUUUGUCCAUGUUUUUAGCUCUUUAUUGUUGUCUCUCUUCACAUAUAUUGUUGUGUUCAUAUGCUGAAAAGUGUCUAUGCUUGAUUCAACUCACAUAAGUUCCUCUCUCCCCUGAUGUGGCGAAGGUAACAGUUGAAAAAGUACGAGUACCUGAUGCUCGUGUUCCACUACCUUUAGAUGAGGUAACCACGGUGGCCGAUGCAUUUCAGACAUUUGUUGCCUGUCCCAGACACCUCAUUCGAUUUAUGCCACAACCUCAUGUAAUAAUUUUAUUUAAUUAUAUUAAUUUAUAUUUAUAUUUAUAUAUUACAUAUAAUUUAAUAUAAAUGUUCUUUAUUUUGUAGAAACCUCUUCGGAAACCAAGUCUGGAGAAGAAGCAUGAGGUUCCGGUUGAUGAUCAUAUAGCUUCCUUAGCUCUAGUUGCUAGACAGAUUGGUCAUGAUCCUUUAGAAGUUCCGCGGGAUGAUACAUUUUUUCAAAUAAACACUGAACUGCCAUUGUUCAUGUACAACACAUAUUUAUUAGAAUUUGUAGCUGGGGAUCAG